GAUGAACGCUAGCGGCAGGCCUAACACAUGCAAGUCGAGGGGUAGAACACUUCGGUGUUUGAGACCGGCGCACGGGUGCGUAACGCGUAUGCAAUCUACCUUGUACAGGGGAAUAGCCCAGAGAAAUUUGGAUUAAUGCCCCAUAGUAUAUAACCUUCGCAUGUUGGUUAUAUUAAAGUUCCAACGGUACAAGAUGAGCAUGCGUCCCAUUAGUUAGUUGGUAAGGUAACGGCUUACCAAGACGAUGAUGGGUAGGGGUCCUGAGAGGGAGAUCCCCCACACUGGUAAUGAGACACGGACCAGACUCCUACGGGAGGCAGCAGUGAGGAAUAUUGGUCAAUGGGCGCAAGCCUGAACCAGCCAUGCCGCGUGCAGGAAGACGGUCCUAUGGAUUGUAAACUGCUUUUAUACAGGAAGAAACAACUCUACGUGUAGAGUCUUGACGGUACUGUAGGAAUAAGGAUCGGCUAACUCCGUGCCAGCCGCCGCGGUAAGAC
rnacentral:rRNA from 1 species